rnacentral:rRNA from 1 species
UACGAAGGGGGCUAGCGUUGCUCGGAAUCACUGGGCGUAAAGGGUGCGUAGGCGGGUCUUUUAAGUCAGGGGUGAAAUCCUGGAGCUCAACUCCAGAACUGCCUUUGAUACUGAAGAUCUUGAGUUCGGGAGAGGUGAGUGGAACUGCGAGUGUAGAGGUGAAAAUUCGUAGAUAUUCGCAAGAACACCAGUGGCGAAGGCGGCUCACUGGCCCGAUACUGACGCUGAGGCACGAAAGCGUGGGGAGCAACAGG